rfam:Gossypium arboreum cultivar AKA8401 contig_21608_7, whole genome shotgun sequence.
UGUUAAAAAUUUCAUUUAGUUCUAUUGUUAAAAACUAACGUGAUUGAAGGAAUAAUCAAAUAAUUACACAUAUAUUUCAUCCUAGGAUUCAAAACCAGUUUUUAAUAAUAGAAAUGAAUGGAAUUUUUAAUA